rnacentral:misc_RNA from 1 species
UCCGACUUGACGUCGGCAGUCUCAUUAGAGUGCCCAACUUAAUGCUGGCAACUAAUGGCAAGGGUUGCGCUCGUUGCGGGACUUAACCCAACAUCUCACGACACGAGCUGACGACAGCCAUGCAACACCUGUCUCCACGUCCCCGAAGGGAACCCCUACUUUCAUAGGGUAGCGUGGGAUGUCAAGCCCAGGUGAGGUUUUGCGCGUUGCUUCGAAUUAAACCACAUACUCCACCGCUUGUGCGGGCCCCCGUCAAUUUCUUUGGGUUUUAAUCUUGCGACCGUACUUCCCAGGCGGGAUACUUAACGCGUUAGCUACGAUACCGAGAGGGUAAGACCUCCCGACAUCUAGUAUCCAUCGUUUACGGCGUGGACUAC